AAUGAACGCUGGCGGCGCGCCUAAUACAUGCAAGUCGAGCGAGAAGACGUAGCAAUACGUUUGUAAAGCGGCGAACGGGUGAGGAAUACAUGGGUAACCUACCCUCGAGUGGGGAAUAACUAGCCGAAAGGUUAGCUAAUACCGCGUACGCUCCUUGGACUUCGGUUCAGGGAGGAAAGCGAUGCCGAGGGUAUCGCGCUCUUGGAUGGGCUCAUGUCCUAUCAGCUUGUUGGNGAGGUAACGGCUCACCAAGGCUUCGACGGGUAGCUGGUCUGAGAGGACAAUCAGCCACACUGGCACUGCGACACGGGCCAGACUCCUACGGGAGGCAGCAGUAAGGAAUAUUGCGCAAUGGGCGAAAGCCUGACGCAGCGACGCCGCGUGGGGGAUGAAGGUCUUCGGAUUGUAAACCCCUUUCGGGAGGGAAGAUGGAACGAGCAAUCGUUCGGACGGUACCUCCAGAAGCAGCCACGGCUAACUUCGUGCCAGCCGCCGCGGUAAG
rnacentral:rRNA from 1 species